AUCGCGAACGCGCAGCCAUCCCCGCGAGCAGGGCGCGGGCGCGGCGGGCUCUUACCUCAGUUUCGGCAGCGAUCAGGAUGUUUGGCUGCGUCCGAUGGCCGGAGGCCCAGCCACCAGCAACCUUGGACUGCUCGCCCGCCGUCGUCGAGGCCGCGCUUUGCGCCUGCACGCGAAGAUCCUAGACGGAGCGCCUGUCGGCUCAUCGCGCAUGCGCGGUGCCUCCGCGCUUGGCAGCUUGCGGAGACAUCGGUCCACAUGUUAACGUGGUGCGGUACCUGAAACGGUUCAUCAUUUUGGAGUUUCUUGCCAGUACCGCGACGUCACCGUAUCUGUUGCACGGCACGGUGGGUGUGAAGAGACGAACACCGAAGCCCAAAAACUUACUCACAUCCCAAUCGUGCAAAAGUGCAAGGCCUAAAAAGAAAACAGCACCGUCAACUGUCAGUCAUCAGACACCAAGUCCUUCCAUGACUUAUAAAAAAUGAAGGGUACAUGAUGCUCAUUCAUUCACGUUUGAAUCUACACCCCCCCCCCCCCCCCCACUAACGUUCACAAUUUACAUAAUUUACAAAUAAUAAAAAAAAAUCAGGACGUUUGCCACCCAUCCUAUACUGUCUGUACUCCUCACAGAAAAUAUUCAAAAGCAACUUACUGAUGACAAACCAAGAUUCAAUAUAUUUAUCUGCCACAUGUGCCAUUUUUGACUCAUUACGGUCCACUUGACACCAAGAAUGUAAAUGAAUUAUAAACAAGUGCAAUAAAAGAAAGAGGCUAUGUACAGUACG